rnacentral:pre_miRNA from 1 species
CGCUCCUCCUUUGGACAGCUAUCCUGGUCCAUGUGCGGGAGCUGCCAAAUGAAGGGCUGU